rnacentral:rRNA from 1 species
CGUAGGGUGCGAGCGUUGUCCGGAAUUAUUGGGCGUAAAGAGCUUGUAGGUGGUUUGUCGCGUCUGCUGUGAAAAUCCGAGGCUCAACCUCGGACUUGCAGUGGGUACGGGCAGACUAGAGUGUGGUAGGGGAGACUGGAAUUCCUGGUGUAGCGGUGGAAUGCGCAGAUAUCAGGAGGAACACCGAUGGCGAAGGCAGGUCUCUGGGCCAUUACUGACACUGAAAAGCGAAAGCAUGGGGAGCGAACAGGAUUAGAUACCCUGGUAGUCCAUGCCGUAAACGUUGGGAACUAGGUGUGGGUCUCAUUCCACGAGAUCCGUGCCGCAGCUAACGCAUUAAGUUCCCCGCCUGGGGAGUACGGCCGCAAGGCUA